rnacentral:rRNA from 1 species
AUUGAACGCUGGCGGCAGGCCUAACACAUGCCAGUCGAGCGAGCGGCGGGAGGGUGAGUAUUGUCUGGGAAACUGCCUGAGGGAGGGGGAUAUAUACUGGAAACGGGAUAUAAUCUCGCAUACCCUCAGCUAUGCCCCGAUGGGAUUAGCUAUUAGGGGGGGUACCGGCUCACCUAGGCGACGAUCCCUAGCUGGUCUGAGAGGAUGACCAACCAAACGGGAACUGAGACACGGUCCAGACUCCUACGGGAGGCAGCAGUGGGGAAUAUUGCACAAUGGGCUCAAGCCUGAGGCAGCCAUGCCGCGUGUGUGAAGAAGGCCUUCGGGUUGUAAAGCACUUUCAGCGGGGAGGCGUUACCCGCAGAAGAAGCACCGGCUAACUCCGUGCCAGCAGCCGCGGUAAUAC